UCCUCCCCUCUCUCUCCUUACCUCUUCCUACCAGAUCUCCCCUCCUAGCGUUCAUGGAGGCUUGUUCCCGUUUGCUAUGGAUGGGGAUCUAUAUGCACACGAACUGUGUCCCUGUUCUACAACAAACCCUAGCUGCCUGUCCUUACCUUUUCGCUAUAGAUUUGGCUGCAAGUUUCCUGGUGUUUAUUGAUGUGCAUAUCGUUAUGAAUUAGUAGAUAUUUUAAAUGUGUAGUUAGCUACUGCUUAAAUCUAGAACAACUCUUAGUUCUGACAUAGGUGUUUGCUUCAUCCAACUUCAUGGUUGUCUUGAGUGUAUUUUGUUUCCGUGGAGCAUAUCUAUUUUAGGCCAAGCAGGUAGUCACUAUUGUUACCAGCUUGUUCACAUUUGAUGUCUGAGGCUGAAUUUAUCAUGUUUUAAGUUAUCUAUGUAUAAUGUAAGUGUUGCCAUAUUGGUCAGCAUGUGGCACCGUGGCAUUAGUCCCAAGUGCUCAUAGCAAGCAAAUUAGAUCUGACGCCUUUUUCAUGCUACUAUUAAGAGAUUUCACCAAUUUUUUAGAAUAGCAGCUCUACAUCAGCUACAGUGUGUGUGCAAAAGUAUUGAAUAUUUGCCUAUUAAGAUAUUUUGGUUUUGUGAUGAAUUUUUUUUUCUCGCUUACAAGCAUCUAUGCCAAAAAGGUAAUUUCUCUUUCAGAAAAAUAGGUUCGUCUUGCAAAUGUUAUCUAAUUCUUUUCAUGGAUCUGACACGGCAAUCCAUUUCUUAAAAGCAGAACAACACCCUUAACAUUGCUGUAAAGAUUUAUGUGAACUCUUGCUUAAAGCAUCUAAUUGCUCACAUGAUAGAACACUUUCACGUUUACGGUCCACCCAAAGUUGUCAAUUUAUAUUAUAUUGGUCAGUAUUUAUAGAUAGAGCUAAUGGUGGGAAAAAAAAGAAUCGGAUAGACCUCGCUAAAGUGGUUUAGCCCUAUAUUUAGGCCUUGUUUAGUUCCCAAAAUUUUUUGUGUUGGGGUACUGUAGCAUUUGUUUUUAUUUGGUAAACAUAGACUAACUAAGUUCAAAAGAUUCAUCUCACGAUUUACAGGUAAAAUGUGCAAUUACUUUUUGUUUUCGUCUAUAUUUAAUGCUCCAUGCAUGUGGCGCAAGAUUCAAUGUGAUGGGGAAUCUUGAAAAAAAAUUUGGUUUUUGGGAUGAACUAAACAAGGCCUUAUGCAUGUUGUAGCUGCUUGUUGCGUAAACACCUAUGUGUAUAAUCCUAAUUUUAUUUUAUUUUCUUUGUGCCUGCUUGUUACUCAUAGACUUCAAGAGCUUGAUUUAAGGAAAACAUUUGUAUUCAUGUUUUUACGCCUUGACCUUGUUCGGCCAGCUUUACAUGUCUGCUAAUCUUUUUCUGAGCUUCAAGAGAGAUUAUCAAUAUGUAGUGUAACUACCUUUUUCUGCCACUAUUGUUUGAUAAUAAGUCUUGCAUGUACCUAUAUUUGAACAGGUCAGUUACAACCAGUCGGGCAUUAGGUGACAUUGGUUGCCUUAUACUUGGUUAUGUCUGCAUUUUCCUUCACCACCUGAUAUGUAAUUUACUUUAUGGUUUACACUUACACGUGUUGCCUGCAAGUUGCAUUAUGAGCAGAUUAUGAGGAUUCCCUUCCUUCCAAUUUAUUGUGGCGUGAGUGAGCUCUCCACGCUUGUGUGCGCUGGGAAAGACCUUUUUCUCCUGUGCUUCCUCUCCUUGCCAUUGCCAGGACCGGGUUUAUGUGUGGAUCUGGCUCGCCGGCAUCGCUGGAGGAACCCACACCGAAGCAUCUAGCAUAUUGCACAUGCUGAAGGUGCACUCCCUCCGCUUAUCACCCUCCCCUCCCUUUACCUCUCUAUAUGCACUGCGAGGAUCUUGCCUCCCCCCUCUCCUAGGAGCUUGUUGGCUCCUAUGGUUCUCUUGUUUUUAAAUGUACGGAUCAUGUGUACAACCGAUAUCCUUCAUUUUACUAUGAUGAUUAGUUGUUUCUUUCUUCAUGUUAUCUACUGAGGUUUUGGGAUUGUGCAAUGAUGAUUUUGUUACUGAGACAAUGGAAUUGUGCAAUGAUGGAUGAUUAUUUGAUUCUUCCAUGAUUCUUGCUAUUUGCAUUAGUUUUGUGAUGGCAAUGUCAUUAUGGCUCAGCGGUUCUCUUUUGCAUGUGCUGUUUUGUCUUUAUUUAGCCCUACAUUUUGUGCGUUUGUUACUGAGCAUAAUUCCAUUGUCAAUGAUGUCUUUGAUCACAUAAUUUGUUAAUUGUUACAUUACAGAGCACAUCCCGUUGCCAAUGAUGCAUUUAUUCGGCAUAGAUUCAUAUAGUUGGGUGGUUGCAAUGGGACCCUUUGUUUAGGUUUGGUGCAGAUCUAUCCUCUUUGUUUUCUUCCUUAUAUGUUUUGGUAGCUUAACCUGCACUGCGCCUGCUGGUCAGUACAAUUUGGUGGUUAGUAUAUUGUGCCCUUUGUACUAUGUUUACCUCAGUAUUGUUUUUUUGUUGCUAUACGUUCUAAAUGCAAGAUAAAGCACUGCAAUAGGAAUUUUCAACCAUAAAAAACAAUUUACUGUGCUCCACGUGGAACAUAUAUCUUUCUUAAGUCUUUAUCUUGCUGUAAGUUCCAUUUUCCAUAAAGAGGUUGGUAGUGUGUGGUUUUCCACAAAGGGUUGUUCUCGAUUGGUAACCUUAUCUAUGUGAACCAAGGCAGCAUUAGCAAAGGGCAACAAGAUAUGAACAACAAUUUCAUAUGCCGGAGAGAGAUGGAUUAGGAGAAGGAGCGAACCAAUUUAAUGAUGGCGACAAUUUUUUGAUAUAAAAGGAGAGCCAGACAUGAGCAAAGUGUGCGUUGGUCCAUGUAGAGUGCAUUGCCUACAAACAAGAUAUAUGUUUUACCUCCAACUCUUAAAUGUUCACUGGCGUCGCAAUUGCUAUCUUCGCAUGUAAUCUAUUGAUAAGUGGAUUUUGUUUGCAUCGCAAGUUAUUGAACCCGGUAUGAAACAUUCAUGGCCAGAGUUUCAUAGGGCUAUACUUGAUGUUUUGAUUGGGUACAGCUGCUGAGCUUUUUAAGAAUUAAUAUUCUUGCAACUCGUUUUAACAUGUUGUUCGUGUGCUUCGUUA